UUCUUUUUUUUUUUUUUUUUGGCUAAUCUAACUUGGAAGCAAGAAAAUGAGAAGAAAAAAGAGUAUAUGGUAGUCAAGUGGGCCUUUAAUCUUUUCUCUUCUCCUUGAGAAAGAUCAUAUGUGAGGGAGAGAUUUGGUUUUGUUACAAGAAUAGAUAAAAAGCUUUGAAAGAGGUUUUGUUGAUUUAUGCUUUAAAGCCUGAAGGAGGAAGAAGGAAGGGUGAAGAGCAGCAAGAGAGCUUAAAGGGUAAGAGCUAAAGACUCAUAAAUCUUCAUCAACAAACAAACAUGCUCAAGAAAGAGAGAGUGAGUGAACGGUAGAUAGAGAUGAGAGAGAGAGAGAGA
rnacentral:misc_RNA from 1 species